AUUGAACGCUGGCGGCAUGCCUUACACAUGCAAGUCGAACGGUAACAGGUCUUUCGGGAUGCUGACGAGUGGCGAACGGGUGAGUAAUACAUCGGAACGUGCCUAGUAGUGGGGGAUAACUACUCGAAAGAGUGGCUAAUACCGCAUGAGAUCUAUGGAUGAAAGCAGGGGACCUUCGGGCCUUGUGCUACUAGAGCGGCCGAUGGCAGAUUAGGUAGUUGGUGGGAUAAAAGCUUACCAAGCCUACGAUCUGUAGCUGGUCUGAGAGGACGAUCAGCCACACUGGGACUGAGACACGGCCCAGACGCCUACGGGAGGCAGCAGUGGGGAAUUUUGGACAAUGGGCGCAAGCCUGAUCCAGCAAUGCCGCGUGCAGGAUGAAGGCCUUCGGGUUGUAAACUGCUUUUGUACGGAACGAAAAGUCUUGGGUUAAUACCCUGGGAUCAUGACGGUACCGUAAGAAUAAGCACCGGCUAACUACGUGCCAGCCGCCGCAGUAAAAC
rnacentral:rRNA from 1 species